CUAAUUGGUCUUAUAUUCACAACAACAAAUUACAAUGAGUUAUGCCGCCAGUUGCUCCUGAGGGAGGACAUUCAAUAUGUUUGCUUCAAAACUUUUACGCAGGACAAUUUGGAAGCAUUUUUGGCAAUCUGGCAAGUAAUUUUAGUACAAGAGAUUACAUGCAGGUAAAGUAUUUUUUCUUAUAUUUAAAAUGUAUAUGUAUAUACACAGCGACAACUUGGAAGAAGAUCACAAAAUCCAGAUAUUUUUCAAGCUUCGUUUGGAAUUCAACACAUAACACAACGAAAAAUAAUUAAACACAUUAAAGGGGGAAAUACCACAUUUGGCAACAAAAAUGCUUGGACAUCAGUAUCAGAUGAGCCACUGCCAAAAAAAAACUCGGAAAUCAGACUAAAAAAAUCCUAGUUGGUUCUACCUCUGUAAUCUCCUGGAUUAGUGUUUGAAAGUUGCUGCAGUUCACUCCAGACAGAACUUCAUCCGAAACAUUAUUAAAGUUGAUUUGUGUGGGCAUUUUUUUUGUUUGUUUUGUUAUUUUUAAAUAGACAUGCUGCAAAAACAAAAGAAAUUCAUCAGAUGGAUACUUCAGGCAUCUAGAAUAUUUUUCCAUGGAUUUAAUCAGCGAUCCAUGUGGUGAUUGUUGGCUAAGACACUCAAUAAUUUCAGGCAUGUCUGGAAAUUUUAAUGUUGUUUUUCUGAUAAUAUAACCACCUAUAUAUUCCAGUGUAUCAUUUUCAAAUGCCUGAAUUUGACCAUAGGAUGGUGCUGGCACUGGCUCAUUCUUUUUCAUUACAUCUUUAAUAAUUACCAAGAGGUUUUCUGCCGCUUUUGAUUUUGUUAGAUUUUCUAAAAAAUAUUUUUUGGCAUCCAUGCAUAACAGUGGGAACUGGCCCACUAUCCUGUCUUUGUUUUUAGUAGCAACAAAAGUGUCCACUAACUUUUUGACAAGAGCGACACCUGCGUCUGAAAGCUGUAAAUUUGAUUUUAACUUCUCAACAACUUGAUAAGCGCUUUCCUGUACAACCUUGCUAAGUUCUGUUUUUGUUGCAUUAGCGUUUUCAAAAAUUCCAGUAAGUUCGUCUGAAAAAGGUGGAUUGGCGUCUGGUAAUUCUAAAUCCUCAAAGAGUAAAUCAUUAAUCGUUUCUUCCGCUAAUUCUAAAUAAU